CAGACUACUGCUUUGGAGGUGUAACUGCAGAGUGACACAGACACACCACCGCAUGAGUAUGAAUGCUCACAACGGCGUAGGAAACAUGCAUAGGCAGAACCUGACGUGUUGCUGUACCUGGCGCUGAGCCUGGAAGGUAACAAACUCCAACCUGACUUUAGGACAAAUUGGACCAUUUACACAAGCAAAAACACAAAUCUGCUCAGUUUGAGCUCGGCUGUGGAGCUGCGAAGAGAAAAGACGAGUCGAGAUCCAGACGUUGAGGAGGUUUUUACCAGAAGCUGAAUCAUCCACAGACGUCUCUUCCUCUUCAAAACAAACGGACCAGAAACAUGGCAGUGCAACAUGGCGAUCUUGCUGUAGACGAGGACCUGCUCCCUGUGUAGAUAUAAACAGCUCAUUCUGAGGUAACAAAACAAGAAGACG